rnacentral:rRNA from 1 species
CGAAAGCCUGACGGAGCAAGACCGCGUGGGGGAGGAAGGCUCUAGGGUUGUAAACCCCUUUUCUUUGGGAAGAACAAAAUGACGGUACCAAAGGAAUCAGCCUCGGCUAACUCCGUGCCAGCAGCCGCGGUAAUACGGAGGAGGCAAGCGUUAUCCGGAAUGAUUGGGCGUAAAGCGUCCGCCGGUGGCAAUGUAAGUCUGCUGUCAAAACCCAGGGCUCAACUCUGGUCAGGCAGUGGAAACGACAGAGCUAGAGUGCGGUAGGGGCAAAGGGAAUUCCCGGUGUAGCGGUGAGAUGCGUAGAGAUCGGGAAGAACAUCGGUGGCGAAAGCGCUUUGCUAGACCGAAACUGACACUCGGGGACGAAAGCUAGGGGAGCG